GAACAAUUAGAGAUAGAGGGAAAGCUAUGGUGUAUGUCUGCUCUCUUGUUUUUCACUUCUUGUUCCCUAGAUCUGUUAUGGUUGAGCCUCAUGGCUCUACUACUGGGAGACGUGGGCGUAAGACUCCUCGAGAGUCAGAUACUCUCGAGGAGCGAGAAAGAAAGCGGCUGCGAGAUAUCUUUGCAGAACCAUCUGACGAGGAUUCUUUUGAGGGGUUUACUGAGAGAAUGGAGGAAGAGAUGGUUAGCUCGGAAGAGGAUGACAUGGAAUGGACUCAUGUAAGGGAGGAUUUGGGUGCCACUGGCAAUGAUAGUAUGGAAGGCGAUUGGGGACCUUCAGGAUUAGACCCGUGGACAAGCUGGAGGGAUGGGACGGGAUCCACAGCUGGGGAUGCUGUGGGGCGUAGUCAAAGGUGUUCCAGUUCUGAUGAGGAAAGUGAUGAGGAAACGCCCGGGCUAAGGAGAACAGCUGAUAGCGAUGAGGACUUGUAACUGGCAUAAAAUGGGGUUUGGGAGCAAUAGCAAAUUGCGUUGGGCAAGGUAAUCUGGACGAACGCUUGGGAUCUGUGUGGGAAGUUUUCCUGAAGACGGGUGUGAUUCGUUUGCUGACUACCUUUGACCUUCCGUCGUCUUCUUGACGGACGCCAUCUGCUUACUCUGGACUUACGGACUGACUGACUACGGCCUCGGAUUCUCCUACCUGUGUCUAUCGUUGGAACUGGUGAACUACAAACGUCUGCAUCUGCCUUACGACCUUCGGAACGGAUUGGGACUUCGCUGACUGCUUCUGCCCUCGUCUGCUGUGUUUGUAUCGGGAAAUUGCCUGCUGUGUGGAGGAGUAACCUCUAAGUUACUCAAACAUAGCUCUUGGCAGCAGAGAAGCAUCUGCUGCCAAUUAGUUGCAUUCCUUUGAACUUUUUGUUCACCAGCUUCUGUUUGUUUAUUCCCAGGCUGAAGCAAGCUGUUUUGAUUUAACCCGGAUUAAACUCCGGUUUAUCUUUUGAACGUUUUUCUUGUCUCUUUUUACUUUUAAGGCCAGUGUUUGCCUAGCCCUUGUCUUUUACGGGCAUUUUUGGUUCUGUAACUCCAAUAAACUUUGUUAUCUUUUA